rnacentral:rRNA from 1 species
GCACAAGCGGUGGAUGAUGUGGUUAAUUCGAUGCAACGCGAAAACCUUACCACCUUUGACAUGUACGGAAUCCUUUAGAGAUAGAGGAGUGCUCGAAAGAGAACCGUAACACAGGUGCUGCAUGGCUGUCGUCAGCUCGUGUCGUGAGAUGUUGGGUUAAGUCCCGCAACGAGCGCAACCCUUGUCAUUAGUUGCCAUCAUUUGGUUGGGCACUCUAAUGAGACUGCCGGUGACAAACCGGAGGAAGGUGGGGAUGACGUCAAGUCCUCAUGGCCCUUAUGGGUAGGGCUUCACACGUCAUACAAUGGUCGGUACAGAGGGUUGCCAACCCGCGAGGGGGAGCUAAUCCCACAAAGCCGAUCGUAGUCCGGAUCGCAGUCUGCAACUCGACUGCGUGAAGUCGGAAUCGCUAGUAAUCGUGGAUCAGCAUGUCACGGUGAAUACGUUCCCGGGUCUU